ACGACGCUGGCGGCGCGCCUAACACAUGCAAGUCGAACGGGACGUAGUGACCGGAGAUUAGAGCUUGUGUUCUAGUUGCGAUCACUAGUUCAGUGGCGGACGGGUGAGUAAAGCAUGAGCAACCUGCCUAGUAGAGGGGGAUAGCUUUUGGAAACAGAAGAUAAUACCGCAUGAAUCAGAGAUUUCGCAUGAGAUUUUUGGAAAAGGAGCAAUCCGCUAUUAGAUGGGCUCAUGUCCGAUUAGCUAGUUGGUGAGGUAAAGGCUUACCAAGGCAACGAUCGGUAGCCGUACUGAGAGGUUCAACGGCCACAUUGGGACUGAGACACGGCCCAGACUCCUACGGGAGGCAGCAGUGAGGGAUAUUGCGCAAUGGAGGAAACUUCUGACGCAGCGACGCCGCGUGAAGGAAGAAGGUCCUCGGAUUGUAAACUUCUGUCCUCAGGGAAGAAACAAAUGACGGUACCUGGGGAGGAAGCCCCGGCUAACUACGUGCCAGCCGCAGC
rnacentral:rRNA from 1 species